rnacentral:rRNA from 1 species
CCUACGGGUGGCAGCAGUGAGGAAUAUUGGUCAAUGGGCGCGAGCCUGAACCAGCCAAGUAGCGUGAAGGAUGACUGCCCUAUGGGUUGUAAACUUCUUUUAUAAAGGAAUAAAGUGAGGCACGUGUGCCUUUUUGUAUGUACUUUAUGAAUAAGGAUCGGCUAACUCCGUGCCAGCAGCCGCGGUAAUACGGAGGAUCCGAGCGUUAUCCGGAUUUAUUGGGUUUAAAGGGAGCGUAGAUGGGUUGUUAAGUCAGUGGUGAAAGUUUGCGGCUCAACCGUAAAAUUGCAAUUGAUACUGGUGGUCUUGAGUACAGUUGAGGUAGGCGGAAUUCGUGGUGUAGCGGUGAAAUGCUUAGAGAUCACGAAGAACACCGAUUGCGAAGGCAGCUUACUAAACUGCCACUGACAUUGAGGCUCGAAAGUGUGGGUAGCAAACAGGAUUAGAUACCCUAGUAGUC